UCAAGUGCGCGAACAAUUGCUAUACAGAAGAUUCAGUUGAUAUUAAACAUUUGGAGUACUCGCAAUGAGAAUCUGCAGGAGGAAAGCAUAACUGGGGACUGCUCUAUAAACAAAGCUGGUGUUAAAAGGCUAUUGGAUUGCUGUCACAGAUAUUUCGGAUAAGCUAUUCUCCAUCUCCAGUAUAAGGCUUAUCUGUGAAGGAUCUUAAUUCAUGGCGAAUCUUCCCAUGGUCACUCAAGGCAUAACACAUUACACCAUCAAGCUUCAAGAUAUCGCUAACUCAGGUGGACUUUAUGGUAGACAUAUACAGGUUAGAACUUGCCUGUCUUUCUCAUAUCCGUAGAUUACUUAGGAGACAGUCUGGUAAAUUGUACACAAGAAAGACAUGUGCAACCAAAAGAAAUACUCAUAUUUUAAAAGCUAGAAGUCUAUCUUCCGACAUAAAA